GAUGAACGCUAGCGAUAGGCCUAACACAUGCAAGUCGAGGGGCAUCACAUGAAGUAGCAAUACGGAUGGUGGCGACCGGCGCACGGGUGAGUAACACGUAUGCAACCUGCCUUCAACAAGGGGAUAACCCGUUGAAAGACGGACUAAUACCCUAUAACACAGGGGUCCCGCAUGGGAAUAUUUGUUAAAGGACAACCGGUUGAAGAUGGGCAUGCGUUCCAUUAGCUAGUUGGCGGGGUAACGGCCCACCAAGGCAACGAUGGAUAGGGGAACUGAGAGGUUUAUCCCCCACACUGGUACUGAGACACGGACCAGACUCCUACGGGAGGCAGCAGUGAGGAAUAUUGGUCAAUGGACGCAAGUCUGAACCAGCCACGUCGCGUGAAGGAAGACGGCCCUACGGGUUGUAAACUUCUUUUAUACGGGAAUAAAGUGCCCCACGCGUGGGGUUUUGCAUGUACCGUAUGAAUAAGGAUCGGCUAACUCCGUGCCAGCAGCCGCGGUAAGUACGCAGCG
rnacentral:rRNA from 1 species